AGGGUUUGAUCCUGGCUCAGGAUGAACGCUAGCGGCAGGCCUAACACAUGCAAGUCGAGGGGUAACAGAGAAUAGCUUGCUAUUUUGCUGACGACCGGCGCACGGGUGCGUAACGCGUAUACAAUCUACCUCUUACUGAAGGAUAGCCCAGAGAAAUUUGGAUUAAUACUUCAUGGUAUCUAUUUAUGGCAUCAUAAAAAGAUUAAAGGUUACGGUAGGAGAUGAGUAUGCGUUCUAUUAGCUAGAUGGUGUGGUAACGGCACACCAUGGCAACGAUAGAUAGGGGCCCUGGGAGGGGGAUCCCCCACACUGGUACUGAGACACGGACCAGACUCCUACGGGAGGCAGCAGUGAGGAAUAUUGGACAAUGGGCGCAAGCCUGAUCCAGCCAUGCCGCGUGCAGGAAGACUGCCCUAUGGGUUGUAAACUGCUUUUAUACAGGAAGAAACACUCCCUCGUGAGGGAGCUUGACGGUACUGUAAGAAUAAGGAUCGGCUAACUCCGUGCCAGCAGCCGCGGUAAUACGGAGGAUCCAAGCGUUAUCCGGAAUCAUUGGGUUUAAAGGGUCCGUAGGUGGAUAAUUAAGUCAGAGGUGAAAUCCUGCAGCUCAACUGUAGAAUUGCCUUUGAAACUGGUUAUCUUGAGUUAUUAUGAAGUAGUUAGAAUAUGUAGUGUAGCGGUGAAAUGCAUAGAUAUUACAUAGAAUACCAAUUGCGAAGGCAGAUUACUAAUAAUAUACUGACACUGAUGGACGAAAGCGUGGGGAGCGAACAGGAUUAGAUACCCUGGUAGUCCACGCCGUAAACGAUGGUCACUAGCUGUUCGGAACUUGUUUCUGAGUGGCUAAGCGAAAGUGAUAAGUGACCCACCUGGGGAGUACGUUCGCAAGAAUGAAACUCAAAGGAAUUG
rnacentral:rRNA from 1 species